rnacentral:rRNA from 1 species
AAUGAACGCUGGCGGCAGGCCUAAAACAUGCAAGUCGAGCGCCCUAGCAAUAGGGAGCGGCGCACGGGUGAGUAACACGUGGGAAUAUGCCUUUUGGUACGGAACAACCUCGGGAAACUGAGGCUAAUACCGUAUGGUCCCUUCGGGGUAAAGAUUUAUCGCCAAAAGAGUAGCCCGCGUUGGAUUAGCUAGUUGGUAAGGUAACGGCUUACCAAGGCGACGAUCCAUAGCUGGUCUGAGAGGACGAUCAGCCACACUGGGACUGAGACACGGCCCAGACUCCUACGGGAGGCAGCAGUUAGGGAAUAUUGGACAAUGGGCGGCAAGCCUGAUCCAGCCAUGCCGCGUG